UACGUAGGGUGCAAGCGUUGUCCGGAAUUAUUGGGCGUAAAGAGCUCGUAGGCGGUCUGUCGCGUCGAUCGUGAAAACUUGGGGCUUAACCCUGAGCUUGCGGUCGAUACGGGCAGACUAGAGGUAUGCAGGGGAGAACGGAAUUCCUGGUGUAGCGGUGAAAUGCGCAGAUAUCAGGAGGAACACCGGUGGCGAAGGCGGUUCUCUGGGCAUGAUCUGACGCUGAGGAGCGAAAGUGUGGGGAGCGAACAGG
rnacentral:rRNA from 1 species